AUGCAUCUAUGAUGAGAGUUUGAUCCUGGCUCAGGAUGAACGUUGGCGGCGUGCCUAACACAUGCAAGUCGAACGGGAAGCCGACUUCGGUCGGCAGAGAGUGGCGCACGGGUGCGUAACACGUAGCUCACCUGGCCCGAAGCGCGGGAUAACGCACCGAAAGGUGUGCUAAAACCGCAUAAGCUCACGAUCUGUAGAGGGUUGUGAGAAAAACGAUUAGUGCUUCGGGAUGGGGCUGCGGCCCAUCAGCUAGUUGGUGCGGUAACGGCGUACCAAGGCGACGACGGGUAGGGGGCCUGAGAGGGUGGCCCCCCACACUGGGACUGAGACACGGCCCAGACUCCUACGGGAGGCAGCAGUGAGGGAUAUUGCACAAUGGGCGCAAGCCUGAUGCAGCGACGCCGCGUGGGUGAUGAAGGUCUUCGGAUCGUAAAACCCUUUUCUGCGUGACGAUGAUGACGGUAGCGCAGGAAUAAGUGUCGGCUAACUACGUGCCAGCAGCCGCGGUAAAACGUAGGACGCAAACGUUAUCCGGAAUUACUGGGCGUAAAGGGCGCGCAGGCGGUUGGAUAAGUGAGGCAUGAAAGCCCCAUGGCUAAACCUGGGGAGGUUGUCUGAGACUGUCUGACUAGAGUCCGAUAGAGGGGUGUAGAAUUCCGCGUGUAGUGGUGAAAUGCGUAGAGAUGCGGAGGAAUACCAGAGGCGAAGGCGGCACCCUGGAUCGGAACUGACGCUGAGGCGCGAAAGCAUGGGUAGCGAACGGGAUUAGAAACCCCGGUAGUCCAUGCCGUAAACGAUGUGUACUCGAUGUUCGUCCUACAUUGUAGGAUGAGUGUCUAAGCAAACGCGGUAAGUACACCGCCUGGGGAGUACGGUCGCAAGGCUAAAACUCAAAGGAAUUGACGGGGGCCCGCACAAGCAGCGGAGCGUGUGGUUUAAUUCGAGGUUACGCGAAGAACCUUACCUGGACUUGACAUAAUGGUGGUAGGGAGGCGAAAGCUGACCGACCUUCGGGAGCCAUUACAGGUGCUGCAUGGCUGUCGUCAGCUCGUGUCGUGAGAUGUUCGGUUAAGUCCGAAAACGAGCGCAACCCUCGGCGUGUGUUACAGGUGUCACACGCGACUGCCCGUGACAAAUGGGAGGAAGGUGGGGAUGACGUCAAGUCAGCAUGGCCUUUAUGUUCAGGGCUACACACACGCUACAAUGGGCGGUACAAUGGGUCGCGAAGCCGCGAGGCGGAGCCAAUCCUAAAAAGCCGUUCGUAGUUCGGAUUGCAGGCUGCAACUCGCCUGCAUGAAGUCGGAGUUGCUAGUAACCGCAGGUCAGCCACACUGCGGUGAAUACGUUCCCGGGCCUUGUACACACCGCCCGUCACGUCAUGGGAGCUGGUCACGCCUGAAGUCGGGAAGGCAACCGCAAGGAACCUACCGCCGAGGGCAGGGCCGGUGACUGGGACGAAGUCGUAACAAGGUAGCUGUAGCGGAAGCUGCGGCUGGAUCACCUCCUUAAUCGGAUCCCGGGCCCGUCGACUGCAGAGGCCUGCAUGCAAGCUUCCUGUAUAGUGACGACGU
rnacentral:rRNA from 1 species